CCCGCUCAGAAACUUAAGGAAUUGACGGGGGCCCGCACAAGCGGUGGAGCAUGUGGUUUAAUUCGAUGAUACGCGAGGAACCUUACCUGGGCUCAAAUGUAUGUUGACGUAUUCUGAAAGGGAUACUUCUUCGGACAAUAUACAAGGUGCUGCAUGGUUGUCGUCAGCUCGUGCCGUGAGGUGUCGGGUUAAGUCCCAUAACGAGCGCAACCCCUAUCAUUAGUUGCCAUCAGGUCAAGCUGGGGACUCUAAUGAAACUGCCUACGCAAGUAGUGAGGAAGGUGGGGAUGACGUCAAAUCAGCACGGCCCUUACGUCCAGGGCUACACACGUGCUACAAUGGCCGGUACAAAGGGCAGCUACCUGGUGACAGGAUGCUAAUCUCAAAAGCCGGUCUCAGUUCGGAUCGGAGUCUGCAACUCGACUCCGUGAAGCUGGAUUCGCUAGUAAUCGCGCAUCAGCCACGGCGCGGUGAAUACGUUCCCGGGCCUU
rnacentral:rRNA from 1 species